UGGGGAAUAUUGGGCAAUGGGGGCAACCCUGAUCCAGCAAUGCCGCGUGUGUGAAGAAGGUCUUCGGAUUGUAAAGCACUUUCGACGGGGACGAUGAUGACGGUACCCGUAGAAGAAGCCCCGGCUAACUUCGUGCCAGCAGCCGCGGUAAUACGAAGGGGGCUAGCGUUGCUCGGAAUGACUGGGCGUAAAGGGCGUGUAGGCGGUUUACACAGUCAGAUGUGAAAUCCCCGGGCUUAACCUGGGAGCUGCAUUUGAUACGUGUAGACUAGAGUGUGAGAGAGGGUUGUGGAAUUCCCAGUGUAGAGGUGAAAUUCGUAGAUAUUGGGAAGAACACCGGUGGCGAAGGCGGCAACCUGGCUCAUGACUGACGCUGAGGCGCGAAAGCGUGGGGAGCAAACAGGAUUAGAUACCCUGGUAGUCCACGCUGUAAACGAUGUGUGCUAGAUGUUGGGUAACUUUGUUAUUC
rnacentral:rRNA from 1 species